rnacentral:rRNA from 1 species
GACGGAGGGUGCAAACGUUGUUCGGAAUCACUGGGCAUAAAGAGCACGUAGGCUGCGCGCUAAGUCAGGUGUGAAAUCCCACGGCUCAACCGGGGAACUGCACCUGAUACUGGCGUGCUCGAGGACGGUAGGGGUGAGUGGAACUCCAGGUGGAGCGGUGAAAUGCGUAGAUAUCUGGAGGAACACCGGUGGCGAAAGCGGCUCACUGGACCGUCUCUGACGCUGAGGUGCGAAAGCGUGGGGAGCGAACAGG